UUCACACACGAAAUUCUGUGAUAUUUCCGUGCUUACGAGUAAUAUUAAUGUAGUUUAGUUCUGGCAGUAUAUAGUUUUAAUACAGUUUUUAAUACGUCAUAGAUUAUUCAUGUAAUAACAUUAUGUAAGAAAUGUAAAAAUAAGAGUGACACGCGUAUGAUACGCGUGUUCUCAGUUACAGGAUGACAUCAAACUUGGGAGAAUAUUAAGCUAAUAUGAAGAAACACUUGUGCGUUUUCCAAGCUUUCGGUGAGCCAGGUAAUGCCGGAAGGUAAUUAGCUAUCAUGUUACCUUCCGCCUCCCGCUCGCUCGCCUGAUGCCUACCUGCCUGGCUGGCUGCCUGCGCUGGAUCCGUUUUCAGACAUGCAAUUAUGUCUGAUGGAAAUGGAAGGCACGUGCACAUAUAAAGUACGCAGACGGAAAGAGGGAGACCCCCGCAUUAUUGCCCCGUGCGCGUUUCAAUUGCUGCGUGCGUGUCUUCGUCGAGUCCCUCAAAACGCACCGAGAUAAAAUGUUUUCCACCUCUUCGAGCUCGCAAACGCCAUAAAUAUGAAACGCAAUUUCCUACUUGUACGUAUUUUUUCUUUUUUUUCACGUAAAUUUGUAUCUUUAAUUAAUAAGGUGCAAAAGUAGGCGUUUUCGAAAAAGAAGAACAGGAAAAGAUAAAUGCAUAUACGUCCAAAUGAGAAUUAAUGAAAGCGACGCAAAAGCAGAAAUAUACAAAGUAUUCAUUUCCAUCAAGCACAAUAUUCCCAUUAAGAACAAUAAUCUGGUACAAGGUACUUGAGUUAAGCACAUUAUACGAUCCUGGAAAGUUUUUUCUUUUGUCUUGAGCCAUCUCAAUGUGGAGGUUCUACCGUGAACAAUUUAUGGCUUAAAAAAGGAAGGGUGUCACCCUCUGACAAACGAAGACGGAGAUACAGACAUCGAACUAAACGCCGCCACCCCAACCCCUCUUGUCCGAGGGGUCAAAAUUCUUGUAAAACCAUAAAGAGGAUUCCCAGUCAUUAGAUCGUUUCGUUACAGGAUCCCGCAUUUUUCUGCAUCCCACCCACCCUUAAAGAACCAUCCCCGACGACUGUUUAAAUUUCUCUUCCGUUUUGUAAUACGACGGAAAUCGCAUCGCUCUCAAGAGAUCCUUGACUUUGAUUUAAGAAGAUUUUCAACUACAAACAAUUUUGCGUUGAGAGAUUUCACAGAGAUAAAUAAGAAUAAUAAAUAUAAAACAAACGAAACAAACAAAAAGUAACAUUACAACAGUAACAACGAUAAGAAUUCUUAUCGAAAGCGUUGCUCUUGCAAGCAAGUACCAAUAAAAUUUUAUUUUAAUUUUAAUGUGUAUGUAAAUUCUUUUAUUACGAUCCAUUGCACAGAAUAAAUUCUCCUUUCCUCUCUAUUCUUAUUAUAAUAAUGGUUAUAAAAAUUCUCAAUAAAUUUCAUCGUACAUAAUUCCACGAAUUUUAUUGCAACUGCAGACAACAACUCUUGACAUCGCAAUUUACAAUUCACUCGAGUAAAAAUAUGAAAGAACUCCUCCUUUUAAAUCAAGCUGCUCGAAUCCUUCCUUCGUUCUAAUCAAUCGGAGCAUAAUGCGAGAAGGAAAAUGCAACAUGUGCGGUAGUGCGAGAUCGGCACGGCAUUGGGAGAAAUAAGGGAACCCUCUUCUUGGCUGAAAUCCGGGGCACGAGGACGCGGCAUGGGUCUGUGAUUUUGCCGUUUCCCGACCACCAUAGAUCACGGCGUCGUAGCAAUUGAGUUAGGAAGGAAGGAACCAGUUCGGCAAACACUUCGCUCGCAACGCCGUCGCCCCCGUCCUCCCUUCCACCCCGUCGUCCUUGUCCGCUCACCAAAUUUAUGGCUUAAAAAAGUCCCGGACGGCCGGAGUCGUUCGCUUUAUCUGUAAUGUACUGAUCUUGCCUCCGUCGACGAAGGCGCCCCUUCUUGCUGCCGACGUCGUUCCUGUCUCUGGACUCAGCCUGGACCGAAAGAAGCCACCCCACGAUCUGGAUAUGGGGUCCACCCGGCGGCGCUAGUGUACACAGGGGUGAACCACUACCAUCGCCACCACCCCGCGGCUUUCAUGAUUUAUAACAAGGAGAGAAGGCGAAAAGCGGGCAAGGCGGACGAAGGGAAUCGAUGCCUUCGAGUCUCGAGGCCCGCAGGAGCUUCGGCGGGACUUGCUUUGAUAAGGGUUUACGAAUCACGCGAUUUUCCUACGAGGAGCACUGAAUCCGUAGCUUACGCGUCGAACGAGAGCGGGUCCUCGAGGUGGAAGGUCAUCCAAAGAAAGACGCGGAUUGGAACUUCCUACUUGCAGAAUACUACCGCGAUAAGAGAACAGUUUAUCCCGCGCGCGAAUUUAUUCCUUCCGCAUUAGAAUGCGGCUCAUGGUAAGGAGAAUUUAAUCCAAACUUAUCGCAUAAAUCGAAUAAAACAUAGUUAUGUCUAAAGUGAAAUAUAUAAAACGAAAUAAACUAUAAUAUACACUAAUUUUAUUUUUCAUCGCGGAUAUUAAUCAAUUUUUUAAUUAUCAAUUUUUUAAUUAUAUUUGGAUAUUGUAGACGCGAAAAGCUGCAUUUUCAUUAUUCAUUGCUUCAACUUAAACAUUUUUUUUAAUGUAUGUUAAAGGGGUGACAUUUGGCUUAUAACAUUAAAUUUUAUUUUUACAUCCAUUUUUACAAUCGCCGCGUAAGUUAUACUCGCGAAGCGGAAAAAUAAAAGGGAACAUCUACAAACGUCACAUGUCGACGUCGCAAGCAACCAACCAGGAAGAGGGAGAGAUGAAAUGUGCAGGGAGUAGAUAAAGAGGGAGAACAUCCUCACCCCGUGCUCACCCUCUCGAAAAGGCUGUUCUAAGUUUCCCGGAGACGUCUGUGAGCAAGAACUCAGAGUACGAAGUUGUUCGUGUGCUACGUGCCGGGAGGAACCGCGAGUGGAGAAGAUGCAGGCAUGGUCAGACAGACGUGUGGACACCCGAUCGGAAUGACGUUUCUGGUUGUCGUCGUCGUCGUCGUCGUCUCAAGGCGAGCAAUCACUUAGGCAAAUAUUCACGCACGGAUGCAUCUUCAGCAUGUGGGCGCCUGUUACAUUCGAUAUGAGCAGCCACCAGGAUGAACGUAUGGAGCAUAGGGGCUUCUAAUUGGGAUGCCACCACCACGUGAAAUUCUGUCAACGAUCGAUAUUAUUGCCGUUUCUUUGCGGAUACGUUGAAGGAAAAAGAACAGAGAUAGCUACACGACGGAAAAUUCGAAUGUAGCUAAACAUGUUAAAGAUACAUGUGCGUGAAAAUGAGAUGAUUCAAGAUGAUGUUUGAUUGAACAUGAUUUUUUUAAAUGUUCAAACAAAUUGCAACAGAGUCUCUCUCCGAUUAAGCCUAAUGAAGGAUGGUCGCCUGGAGAACGCUUCAAAGGAGCUGCACGCCAAACGAUUCAUCAGGAUACGUAGGGCUCAAACCUCGAAGCUUCUGCGGUUCUUCCUCCUCAAGAUUCGACCGUAAAGUUCGCCCUAAGGACCAGCAUCCUUGCUCCAUAAACCUAACCCUGUCAGAAUACAACCAUCGAUUCCAUCGUCUGCGGUUACACGGACCGGGAACAACGAAUCUUUGGCACAUCUGCCGAGCACGAUAGCAGCGAUUACUUAUGCGUCCCGUGCUCUCUCUCACAGAAGCUUCCUCAGCGAAUCCCUUCCUCGCCACCUCCCUCUCGGCGAGAUGUACAAGGGGGAUGGCGCGAGUUAACGCGAACAUAUAAAUUAGCAGGACAUCUUAGCAGGCCGCUUGCAACUUAGUCACGUAGCGGGUUUAAACUUGACAGGAGGUGGAUCCUGCGACGGCGAGCGUAUGCGGCCGCCACCGCCACCGUAUAGCGCCGCCACCCUGUAUCACCCCCCCCCCCUGCCCCGUCACCUGACCCCUGUGAUUACCACGGCUGACGAAAAGAGGGAAGAAAGGAGGGGAAGCGAGAAGCCUCUUAAUUCUCCGAGAUUCUCGGAUCGUCGAAGUGGAAAACGAUCGGCCAUCGAUGGGGUCGAAAUUACAACCGCGAUAUUUCCUCUCGACGGUGUCGCGGAUCGAAGCGAAACUCGAGUAUCCCUGUUUCAGGAUUUCUCAAUUUGCGUCGAUAUCUCAGAAUAGAAACAAUAGAUUUGAUCCGUGAGAAGAUAAAAGAUCAUAUGUUUCGUGUGUAGACAAUCGAAUUGUGGAAUCGCAUCGUUUUCUUUGCGCUAAUUAACAAUAGCUGCGGAGAUAUAACAUCCAAUAGCAGAGGAGCCAACGUAGAUGUAAACAUGUUAAUAUAUCGCGAUGAUUUAGUGCCCCGAGGAAGCUCGAUCUUUGACUUGUCCAGUGGUAAUCUCACAUCUGACGAAGACUAGCUAGAGGCGAAUCGCCGCUCGAUCUUACCGUUAACGCAAGAAUACGUCGAUAAGGGCGGUCGAGACACGCGGUGCUCGCCGUCAGGGGAGAGCAGGAACUUCCGAUUUAUGGGCCGUCGUGUCCCAGGAGAUCCUGAGAGUCCCCGGGAUGCGGUCAAAGUGACAGGGUGGGCGAUUAGGUGCACAAUACUCCGAAACAGUUCGGAACGGCAUCUGCGCCGUUCAUUGAUCACAUUCGAGGACGAGGCGGAAAGUCCGCGAGACGAAGACGACAACGACGACGACGACGACGACGAGAUUGCGAAAACGGGGAAGACAGUUAUGACGUGAGCGCGUAGAAUUCGCCUUCACCGAGGAAAUGGACGGAUGGCAAAGCGACAACGGAACGUCCUUUCCAAUUUCCAAGUCCUUUCCACACAAUCCAGAUUGUUUUCCGCGGUACGAAGUCGUCGCUUUUUCACGAUCCUGACUACCCUUCAACUUUUCCUCAACUAAUACACGGAGUAAAGUUUCGCGUCGCAUGAUUUCUUUUAUUUUCAGAAUUAGCUGGAGAGAGUCGGCUGCGAUGAUUCGUUAAAGUCGAGAAAUGACAUGUGAUCGAUAAAAUCUGCGUGGGUGCGAAAAUUUAU